GACGAACGCUGGCGGCGUGCCUAAUACAUGCAAGUAGAACGCUGAAGGAGGAGCUUGCUUCUCUGGAUGAGUUGCGAACGGGUGAGUAACGCGUAGGUAACCUGCCUGGUAGCGGGGGAUAACUAUUGGAAACGAUAGCUAAUACCGCAUAAUAGCAGUUGUUGCAUGACAACUGUUUGAAAGGUGCAAUUGCACCACUACCAGAUGGACCUGCGUUGUAUUAGCUAGUUGGUGGGGUAGCGGCUCACCAAGGCGACGAUACAUAGCCGACCUGAGAGGGUGAUCGGCCACACUGGGACUGAGACACGGCCCAGACUCCUACGGGAGGCAGCAGUAGGGAAUCUUCGGCAAUGGACGGAAGUCUGACCGAGCAACGCCGCGUGAGUGAAGAAGGUUUUCGGAUCGUAAAGCUCUGUUGUAAGAGAAGAACGAGUGUGAGAGUGGAAAGUUCACACUGUGACGGUAUCUUACCAGAAAGGGACGGCUAACUACGUG
rnacentral:rRNA from 1 species